rnacentral:misc_RNA from 1 species
CUCUGCGUGGAAGGAGACCUAGUAUCCCACCACCGUCCUUCACCGCUUCCCCGCGACGCCACCGGCUUCCCUUUUUUUCUCCUUCCCCUCCCUCCCUCUAUUUCAUCUCUGCCAGAUACAGGCGAGUCUGCACAGGCCCUUCAUGGUCGCUUUCGCAGAGCUUCAGUACCGUGAAGCCGUAGCCCCCACAUCAACGUUGUGUUUGCUUAGUUUUUGUUUGUUGUAGGACACCACGGAAGUCGCCAAGUGCGAAACUACGGCUGUGCAUCGUUAUAUUACGUGUGUGUGUGUGUGUGGAGAGGGGCAUCUUCGCUGUUCUGUGCCCGCGAGUUUGCACGCUCCCUGUUUGGUUCUUCGACAGAUCGUGCGUGUGCAUCAAGCUCUCAAGCGAAGGCAAGAAACCGUCGGAGGUAUUGUUCUCUCUGUCUUUUCGUGUACUGUUGUUGUUUUCAUGUACGGCACUCGAAGCCGAUCUGUGUCGAGACACAACGUCAUCUUUUCGUUUCUGAGUUCAAGUCUCUGCCUCUGCGCUCUCUGCUCUCUUCGGUUUCACCUAUAUGGUUGAUUGGCGCGCGCACGCGGUUCCUGUCCGCUUCCGUGCGCUCUGUGUGUCUAUGCUUGCGCAGCGACAUCACUUUUCCUUCUCCCCCUGACACCUAUCUAUGUGUAUGUGUGAUUCCUGUUGCAUCGACGUCCGUUCUCUUCUCCGCUUGCUGUUGUGUCACCCCUCCUUUUCCUCUUCUCCGCAUUCUGCUCGUCGUGGCCGACUAAG